CGGCGCAAGGGUGAGUAACACGUAGGUAAUCUGCCCAGAGGACGGGAAUAACUUCGAGAAAUCGAGGCUAAUGCCCGAUGAUUUUCCAGCAUUUAAAACCGUGCCUUUGGAUGAACCUGCGUCCCAUUAGGUAGUUGGUGAGGUAAUGGCUCACCAAGCCGACGAUGGGUAGCUGGUCUGAGAGGACGAUCAGCCACACUGGAACUGAGACACGGUCCAGACUCCUACGGGAGGCAGCAGUGAGGAAUAUUGCGCAAUGCCCGAAAGGGUGACGCAGCGACGCCGCGUGGAGGAUGAAGGCCUACGGGUCGUAAACUCCUUUUAUGAGAGAAUAAUGAAUGUACCUCAAGAAAAAGCAUCAGCUAACUACGUGCCAGCAGCCGCGGUAAUACGUAGGAUGCUAGCGUUGUCCGGAUUUACUGGGUGUAAAGGGAGCGCAGGCGGGUUGGUAAGUCGGUGGUGAAA
rnacentral:rRNA from 1 species